rnacentral:rRNA from 1 species
AGCAGCCGCGGUAAUUCCAGCUCCAAUAGCGUAUAUUAAAGUUGUUGCAGUUAAAAAGCUCGUAGUUGAAUUUCGGGAUCAGUACGUCGGUCGUGCCUCUGGUAUGUACUGGUGUUACUGGUUCCUCCCUUCUGAAGAACUGUCAUGUCAUUAAUUUGGUGUGGCGGGGAAUCAGGACUGUUACUUUGAAAAAUUAGAGUGUUUAAAGCAGGCUCGCGCUUGAAUACAUUAGCAUGGAAUAAUGAAAUAGGACGUUUGAUCCUAUUUUGUUGGUUUCUAGGAUUGACGUAAUGAUUAAUAGGGAUAGUUGGGGGCAUUAGUAUUCAAUUGUCAGAGGUGAAAUUCUUGGAUUUAUUGAAGACUAACUACUGCGAAAGCAUUUGCCAAGGAUGUUUUCAUUAAUCAAGAACGAAAGUUAGGGGAUCGAAGACGAUCAGAUACCGUCGUAGUCUUAACCAUAAACUAUGCCGACUAGGGAUCGGAUGAUGUAAUUUUUAAUGUA